rnacentral:rRNA from 1 species
GAAGGAGGGUGCGCGCGUUAAUCGGAAUUACUGGGCGUAAAGCGCAUGUAGGCGGCCGAACAAGUCAGGAGUGAAAUCCGCGGGCUUAACCUGGGAAGUGCACUUGAUACUGUCCGGCUAGAGUUUGGCAGAGGAAAGUAGAAUUCCCGGUGUAGCGGUGAAAUGCGUAGAUAUCGGGAGGAAUACCAGUGGCGAAGGCGGCUUUCUGGGCCAAUACUGACGCUGAGGUGCGAAAGCGUGGGGAGCAAACAGG